CAUUUAGUGGGUCUUCCUGGGGCCAGGGCCUGGGUCCACCCUCAUUUUUGGCUCAUGUCUGCUCUGUCUGUGGAAUCCAAGGACUGUGGCACUUUCUGAUGCCUGGCAGGGGUUUGUGCAGGGAAAUGGUUGGGUAAUUCCCCCUCCCUUUCCAACCAGGCUUACUUAGACAAGAAAGGUUCUAUUAUGUCCUCAGGAUAUUGAGUAAUAAGGGGGAGGAAGAGGGGAACUAAAAAGUGUCUAUUCAGCCUGGACAUUUCUGCUGACAUUCUCACGAAGCAUGUGCUACUUAAAAGGACAAAAUGAAAACAAGUUCCUCCUGCCUCCAACCACACUGUUCACGGGCUGAAAGGCCUCAGUCCCAUAAUUGAUCCACACACCCAGGGUUGUCUGGCUGCCACAGAAGUCAAGGAGGGGACUCUGGAUCACGGAGGACCCUCCACCGCUCGGAAAGUUUGGGACCUAACUACACCUGUGGUCAGGAGGUUGGAAGUUUGAGUCCACCCAAUGGCACCUCGGAAGAAAGGCCCGGCACUCUACUUCAGAAAAAUCAGCCAUUGAAAACCCUAAGCAGUUCUACUCUGACACACAUCAGGCUACCAUGAGCCAGAAUCAACUCAGCAACAACUGGAUGACACAACCUUACUUGCUGAAAGUGAAGAGGACUUGAAGCACUUACUGAUGAAGGACAAAAACUACAGCCUUUAGUAUGGAUUACACCUCAACAUAAAGAAAACAAAAGUCCUCACAACUGGACCAAUAAGCAACAUCAUGAUAAUCAGAGGAAGUAUUAAAGUUGUCAAGGAUAUCAUUUCACUUGGCUCCACAAUCAACACCCAUGGAAGCAGCAGUCAAGAAAUCAAACAACAUAUUGCAUUGGGCAAAUCGUUUGCAAAAAAUGUAUUUUAAGUAUUAAAAAGCAAAGAUGUCACUUUGAGGACUAAUGUGCGCCUGACCCAAGUCAUGAUAUUUUCAAUUGCCUUAUAUGCCUGUGACAGCUGGACAAUGAAUAAAGAAGACGAGAGAAGAAUUGAUGACUUUGAUUUAUGGUGUUGGUAAAGAAUAUUGAAUAUACCAUGGACUACUAGAAGAAUGAACAAACUUAUCUUGGAAGAAGUACAGCCAGAAUGCUCCUUAGAAGGGAGAACGGUGAGACUUCAUCUCAUAUACCAUGGACUACCAGAAGAAUGAACAAACUUAUGUUGGAAGAAGUACAGCCAGAAUGCUCCUUAGAAGGGAGAACGGUGAGACUUCAUCUCACAUACUUUGGAUAUGUUAUGAGGAGGGACUGGACCCUGGAGAAGGACAUCAUCCUUGGUAAAACAGAGGGUCAUUGAGGAAGAGGAGACUCAGCAAGAUGGAUUGAUACAGUGGCUGCAACAAGUUGCUCAAGCAUAACAACGAUUGUGAGGAUGGCCCAGGACUGGGCAGUCCUUGGCUCUGUUGUACAUAGGGCUGCUAUGAGUCAGAACUGACUCAACGGCACCUUACAACAACAACAAUAUAAAAUGUAAACAAAUACAGGAAAUAAAAAGAGACUUAAAAAAAUACUAUUUCUAAUAACUUCUCUUUAUGUCUUAAACUCUUCUUCUGGUGCAUUCUCUCUACUUUGGAACUCACUGGUGUAAAGACAAGGAGAGAAAACCAUAACACUAGAAGUAAGGAAGGGACCCAGAGAUUCCUUUCAACAAAACCAGCAAUGAUUCCUACAGCUUCUCAAAAGAAAUUGAAGUAGCCACCCUGUUGGUUCCACCUCCCCUGGGACAGAAAGAUUUCCACACAUAUUCUGGACCCUGGAUGCACUAACUUUGGAAGAGCGGUCGCCUACAGUAACGUGCUGUCACAGUCUUUCCAGAACUGAAGGGCGAGGAAGAAGAGACGUUGGGUGUUAGCACUCCUGAAUACUGACAACCACAGAUUUUAACUUUAAAUCACCAGGGCCAGAAGGAGGACCAACGGAUGAAAAUUACAGGAAGGCAGAGCUGGCUUAAUAUGAGAAGAAACUUGGACAUGUCCAAAAAAUGAAUAGGUUAACUUUCAAGACAGCCUGUUUUCCCUCUUCUGAGGUCUGUGGAAUUCGUCCAGCAGCUUAAAAGGAGUCCAAGCAAGCCUCUUCAGUUUCAGGCAGUAGAGGAAAACCAUUCCUAUUUAAGGGAACACCUACUGUCUGGCCACUGUUUGGGUGUAGUUGAUUUGAUUCCUGUGUACUCCAUCUGGUGAGGUCCACGUGUAUAGUGGCCAUUUAUGCUGGUGAAAAAAAGGUAUUUAAAAUGAAGAAGUCGUUGGCCUUACAAAAUUCUAUCAUUCCAUCUCUGGCAUUGUUUCUACCACCAAGGCCAUAUUUUCCAGAUGCUGAUAUUUCUUCUUUGUUCCAACUUUUGCAUUCCAAUCACCAGUUAUUAUCAAUGUAUCCUGACUGCAUGCUCAAUCAAUUUCAGACUGUAGAAGUUGGUAAAAAUAUUCAAUUUCUUCAUCUGUGGCCUUAGUGGUUGGUGUGUAAAUCUGAAUAAUAGUCAUAUUAACCGGUCUUCCUUGUAGGCUUAUGGAUAUUAGCCUACCACUGACAGUGUUGUACUUCAGGAUGAAUCUCGAAAUGUUCUUUUUGAGAAUGAAUGCAGUGCCAUUCCUCUUGAAGUUGUCAUUCCCAGCAUAGUAGACUGUAUGAUUGAUUCAAAAUGGCCAAUACGAGUCUAUUUCAGCUCACUAAUACUUUAGGAUCUCUAUGCUUAUGUGUUCCAUUUCAUUUUUGACGAUUUCCAAUUUUCUUAGAUUCAUACUUCGUACAUUCCAGGUUCUGAUUAUUAAUGGAUAUCUGCACCUGUUUCUUCUCAAUUUGUACCAUGCCACAACAGCAAAUGAAGGUCCUGAAAGCUUGACUUUAUCCGUGUCAUUAAGGUCAACUCUACUUUGAGGAGGCAGCUAUUCCCCAGUUGUCUUUUGAGUGCCUUCCAAUCUGGGGGGCUCAUCUUCCAGCACUAUAUCAGACAAUGUUCCACUGCUAUUCUUAAGGUUUUCACUGGGUAAUGCUUUUCAGAAGUAGACUACCAGGUCCUUCUUCCUAGUCUGUCUUCCUCUGGAAGCUUAGCUGAAACCUGUUUGCCGUGAGUGACCCUGUUGGUAUCUGGAUACUGGUGGCAUAUCCUCCAGCAUCGCAGCAACAUGCAAGCCUCCACAGUACAACAAACUGACAGACUAAAAUGGAUAUCAGAAGGGACUCUGAAACUUGCUCUUGAAUGUCAAGUAGCUAAAGCAAAAGGAAGAAAUGAUGAGGUAAAAGAAUUGAACAGAAGAUUUCAAAGGGCAGCUCCAAAAGACAAAGUAGAGUAUUAUAAUGACAUGUGCAAAGAGCUGGAGAUGGAAAACCAAAAGGGAAAAACGUGCCUGACAUUUCUCAAGCUGAAAGAACUGAAGAAAAAAUUCAAGCCUCGAGUUGCAAUAGUGAAGGAUUCCAUGGGGGAAAAUAUUAAACAACACAGGAAGCAUCAAAAGAAUGUGGAAGGAAUAUACAGAGUCAUUAUACCAAAAAGAAUUGGUUGACGUUCAAUCAUUUCAAGAGGUAGCAUAUGAUCAAGAACUGAAGGAAGAAGCCUGAGCUGCACUGAAGGCAUUGGCAAAAAAAAAGGCUCCAGGAAUUGACAGAAUAUCAAUUGAGAUGUUUCAACAAAUGGAUACAGCACUGGAAGUGCUCACUCGUCUAUGCCAGGAAAUUUGCCAAUUGACUGGGAGAGAUCCAUAUUUAUGCCUAUUCCCAAGAAAGGUGAUCCAACUGAAUGUGGAAGUUAUUGAACAAUAUCAUUAAUACCACACGCAAGUCAAAUUUUGUUGAAGAUUAUUCAAAAGCAGCUGCAGCAAUAUAUUGACGGGGAACUGCCCAAAAUUCAGGCUGGAUUCAGAGAAGGACAUAGGACUGGGAUAUCAUUACUGAUGUCAGAUGGAUCCUGGCUGAAAGCAGAUAAUACUAGAAAGAUGUUUACCUGUGUUUUAUUCACUAUGCAAAGGCAUUCGACUGUGUGGAUCAUAACAAAUAAUACAUAACAUUACGAAGAAUUUGAAUUCCGGAACACUUAAUUGUGCUCAUGAGGAACCUGUACAUAGAUCAAGAGGCAGUUGUUUGAACAGAACAAGGGGAUACUGCAUGUUUUAAAGUCAGGAAAGGUGUGUAUCAGGGUUGUAUCCAUACCUAUUCAAUCUGUAUGGUGAGUAAAUAAUCUGAGAAGCUGGACUGUAUGAAGAAGAACAGGGAAUCAGGAUUGGAGGAAUACUCAUUAACAACCCAUGUUAGGUAGGUGAAACAACCUUGCUUGCUGAAAGAGGACUUGAAGUACUUACUGAUGAAGAUCAAAGAUCACAGCCUUCAGUAUGGAUUACACCUCAACAUAAAGAAAACAAAAAUCUUCACAAGUGGACCAAUAAGCAACAUCAUGAUAAGUGGAGAAAAGAUUGAAGUUGUCAAGGGUUGCAUUUUACUUGGAUCCACAAUCAACACCUAUGGAAGCAGUGGUUAAGAAAUCAAAACACACAUUGUGUUGGGCAAAUCUGUUGUGAAAGACCUCUUUAAAAUGUUGAAAAUCAAAGACAUCACCUUGAAGACUAAGGUGUGCCUGACCCAAGCCAUGGCGUGUUCAGUUGUAUCAUAUGCAUGCAAAAGCUGGACAACAAAUAAGGAAAACCAAAGAUGAAUUAACACCUUUGAAUUGUGGUGCUUGAGAAGAACAUUGAAUAGAUCGUGGACCGCCAGAAGAAUGAACAAAUGUCUUGGAAGAAGUACAACCAGAAUGCUCCUUAGAAACAAGGAUGGCGAGACUACAUCUUACAUACUUUGGACAUGAUAUCAGGAAGGAUCAAUCCCUGCAGAAGGACAUCAUGCUUGGUAGAGUGUCAUCGAAAAAGAGAAAGACUCUCAACUAGAUGGAUUGACACAGUGGCUGUAACAAUGGGCUGAAGCAUAACAACGAUUGUGAGCAUGGCUCAGGACUGGGCAGUGUUUCAUUUUGUAGUACAUAGGGUCACUAUGAGCCGGAAUGGAUCUGACGGCACCUAACAACAAUAACAACAACAGUAAAAUGUUGGCUAUUGUUGUUAUAUUAUUCCUUAUUCCUUAAACUACAAAAUUUGAAAAGUGAAUUGAACCUUGAUAGAGCUCAGGACAACGCUAUACUAAAAGGAGGAAGCUAGAAACAAUCUGUUUUUCUAUUUCCAGAGAAAAGUAAGUUUACUGCCUGAAUUAUGUAGAUGACUAUUCUAUUCUUUGAUUUUCCCUAAAAGGAGCAGAUUUGAGGAAUAUAUAAAGCAUUCCUAUAAAAUCAGGAAAUCAAGUAUAAAAUUUACAAUGCAAGAAAGUGAAUUCAUGAAGUCAAUGUAUUAAAGAUACCUCUCAAAUAUGAAUAAGGAUGCUUCUUUUCACUCUUUAAAGAACUAAAACUCAGUUUUAUUACCAUGAAAUAAAAAUGUUCAUAAACACUGCCGCUACUCAUCUGGGAAGCCCAGAACCUUCUAUACUCUUCAGAUACUACACCUGUCAUUCACCAAGAACCCUUGUGAGAUGGCAAUGACAAAAUCCAAGUGAAAAUUGCAUGAGCCGAGGUUGGCUUAUAGUUGGCUUAUAUUUUCUGAAGGAAGAAUUCUGUGUUACAGUUAUGAUCUCAGUGUUUCCCAUAAUUCAAGAGAAAUAGAAUGGCAUACAUAUCCUCCUUUCUAUCUAGAGUGGAGAUAUUUUCAAAAACUAUGUUAGUUAUUAAAUUAGAAGCACGGUUGUAUCUUAAUCAGAUCAGAGUCCUUUAAAAUUACGAGUCUGACAGCAAAUAUAUUGGUCAUCUGGGAUAUGCAAGAUAACAUGGUGGGACACAACAUAAUAAUUGUGGAGAAAAUACAUUUGCAUAUCAAAGGUGCUUGAGGAAAAUUUCAAGGCAUUGACAAGAGAAAUGCUGAUGGCAAGACAGGCCUAAUCAAGGGGGACUAGAGUAGGUUGAGAGUCAAAAGUAGGUUUCAUGAAGGAAUAAUGUUGGAGCCAAGUAUUAAAGGAGGUUUCAGACUCGGGGGAAGAUGUCAAAGGCACUGGGAAAAUGGAGGAGAAAUAUCCCAAGCUCAGCUACAAGAGGCAGAUAUGAAAAGAUCUUAUACUCUGUCUCGCCAUAUGCCUGUAUUUACGAAAAUGUUAAUAGCAGUUUUCUUCAGAGAGUGCUAUUUUUAAUUGUUUAAGAUUUUUUGGUAUAUUUUGAAAAAGUUUCUCAUCACAUUCGUUCCUUUUUUAUAAGAGAAGACAACUGUGGAGCUAUUUCUAUUCAGGAAGGAAAGUUGAUUGCUGAUAUUUCAUUUACUGGACAAAUAGAGGCUGUAUAAAUGCACUGGUUAAGAAUAUAGAAAAUGGAAUAUUGUAUUAAAAUUCCCAGCUUUGUUUACUCAGUCCAUUUGACACUUAAAUUUUCCCCUUCACAUUAUAUUAUGAAAAAUUUCAAGCAUGAACUUGAACACCAAUAAACUCCCUCCCCUAUAAUUGUUAGCAUUUUGCUAUACUUGCAUUUGCUUUAUUACAUUUCCAUCCAUUUUUCCAUUCAUCUUUUUUGUUGGAAGGGGGUGCAUUUCUAAGGAAGUUACAAACAUCAAUACCCUACUUGAUAACUAAAUUUUAACCACCUUCCAACUCCCCCUGCGUGCACACUCAAGACUAGCUCAGAACCUCCCUAUAGGCUGUUAAGCAUUUUAAUCUCAUCUCAUUGUCCAUACCAAGACACUGCUUCUAAUUGAAACAUGUCCAGAAUCAACUGCAUAGCCAGAAGACAAUGUUUAUUAAGUCUUACCCUGGCUUUUUCUACAUAUCCAGAACUGUGUAAUUUAUUCAAAUGAUAUUAAAGCUGGAAGGAAAAAUUACCUGAUCAUGAGCCACAAGCUCCAGUGUUCCUGUGAACCAGACAUGUAACAAAAAGCGGGCUCCUGUAAGAUAAUCUGUUGGUCCUGAUAACACAGACUGACCCAGACUCGGUGUGGGAGGCGAUAAACAGAAGUCGAAUUAACCAGAAAGCUUGAGAAAACAGAAUUGACAGUCAUGGCAAGGCUUCCAACCUCAGCCUGCAGGCUCCCAGAAUCCAGUAUUUUAACCGGUAUCUCUCCUUUUGUCUCCCCUGCGGGUCUACUUACUUCAAAGUAAAAAUCUAUCACAGUAACUUAAAUGGUAUGCUGUUAAACAGAACUUUUCUUUAAUUACAAGUAUUUAUGGAUGCUGUAGUGAUAAUCAUGCAUUUAAAUGCAAAGCAUACCAAUGAAAAUGGUUAAGUGCGUGGCUGCUAACCCAAAGGCUGGUGGCUCGAGCCCACCCAAUGGCUCCGAGGGAGAAAGACCUGGCAAUCUGCUCCCGUGAAGAUUACAGCCUAGAAAACCUGAUGGGGCAGUUCUACUCUGUCACAUGCAGAUGCUGUGGGUCAAAAAUAGACCGCACAACACCUAAAAACAACAAUGGAAACAGUAGCACAGGU